UCGUGAUAUGGUUGUGAUUGAGACAGACGAUGUGUAAUACUAUAAUGUGGUCGUGAUAUGGUUGUGAUUGAGACAGAUGACGUGUAAUACUAUGAUGUGAUCGUAAUAUGAUUGUGAUUGAUGACAUGUGCAUAUUCAUUAUUCAUCCCAUGUGUGAACUAUCUGUUGCAUGAGUUCUGAGACACUGAUAUGAGGAUGGAUGGAU
rnacentral:lncRNA from 1 species